GAUGAACGCUGGCGGCGUGCCUAAUACAUGCAAGUCGAGCGAACAGACGAGGAGCUUGCUCCUCUGACGUUAGCGGCGGACGGGUGAGUAACACGUGGAUAACCUACCUAUAAGACUGGGAUAACUUCGGGAAACCGGAGCUAAUACCGUAUAAUAUAUUGAACCGCAUGGUUCAAUAGUGAAAGACGGUUUUGCUGUCACUUAUAGAUGGAUCCGCGCCGCAUUAGCUAGUUGGUAAGGUAACGGCUUACCAAGGCAACGAUGCGUAGCCGACCUGAGAGGGUGAUAGGCCACACUGGAGCUGAGACACGGUCCAGACUCCUACGGGAGGCAGCAGUAGGGAAUCUUCCGCAAUGGGCGAAAGCCUGACGGAGCGACGCCGCGUGAGUGAUGAAGGUCUCCGGAGCGUAAAACUCUGUUAUUAGGGAAGAACAAAUGUGUAAGUAACUAUGCACGUCUUGACGGUACCUAAUCAGAAAGCCACGGCUAACUACGUG
rnacentral:rRNA from 1 species